UUGAAGAACUCAACAGGCUCUUGAAACCGACACCCACAGCGGGUAAAAGAGCAACGUUCGAAUACCCUGAAGCACUGAUUUUUGCAGAAAAAGAAUCAA